rnacentral:rRNA from 1 species
AACGAACGCUGGCGGCGCGCUUAACACAUGCAAGUCGAGCGGACCCGCAAGGGUCAGCGGCGAACGGGUGAGUAACACGUGGAUAAUCUGCCCUGAAGACCGGGAUAACUCGGCGAAAGCCGAGCUAAUACUGGAUAAGCAUCCGACGAGGCAUCUCGAUGGGUGAAAAGUGGCAACACACUUCAGGAUGAGUCCGCGGCCCAUCAGCUAGUUGGCGGGGUAAAGGCCCACCAAGGCAACGACGGGUAGCUGGUCUGAGAGGACGACCAGCCACACUGGAACUGAGACACGGUCCAGACUCCUACGGGAGGCAGCAGUGGGGAAUCUUGCGCAAUGGGCGAAAGCCUGACGCAGCGACGCCGUGUGUGCGAUGAAGGUCUUCGGAUCGUAAAGCACUGUCGCGAGGGAAGAAACCGAAAGGGUGACGGUACCUCGAAAGGAAGCACCGGCUAACUCUGUGCCAGCCGCCGCAGUAAAAC